AGGGGAGAGGUAAAAGGGGUUUGAGUGUGGGAAACUAUAGGAUUUUUUAAUGAAUUGCCCAUAACAGCAUUAGCUGCAAGUUUGAUGUUUAAAAAUUGUGUUUGCUAUCACUAUAAGAUGGCUCAUUGCUGCAUUAACUAAUUGGUGGGGGACGGCCUACCUAGGCGACGAUGCGAGACGACCUGAUAGUGUCAUCGGCUACACUGGCAAUGAGACUGACCCCGCACUCCUGCGACAGGCAGCAAUACGGAAUCUUCUGCUGGAGGGAAAUCCUGACGAAGCCUCGCCGCUGGAGUGAUGAAUGAAUUCAGCACGUUCUGCUGUAUUGAAAGGGCUUUUCGAUUGUGUAAUAUUUAUUCGACGGUGACACGGUAACUAUCUGGAGUGCAAAAAUUAUGUCCGUGCCCCCAGGCUAUCCGUACGUAACAGGCAAUCUUCGGGACUUAAUUGGCGGGCGUAAAGCGCGCGCGGCUGGUUUAUUUACUCUGAUGUGAAAGUCGGCCGGGCCAACCCCUGGGGGGUUUAAGUGUGAACUGUAACAUUUUCAGGGCGGAGAUAGAAAAGUUAAAUUUCAAAUUGCAAAAGGUGAAAUGUUAAAUUGUUUAAAAAAGAAGAAAAAGAGACCCCCCCCGGGGGGAAAGGUCCUUUAACCGAGACUUGAAUACCGGGAACCCCAAACCGCGGUGAAAAGCUCUGCUUCCCCGGGUUCUUUUUAACCCUCCACCGGAAGGAGCCCCAAAGC
rnacentral:rRNA from 1 species